CAGUCGAACGAAGCGAGAACUAAAGCGCAAGCAGAGGUUCUUGACUGAGUGGCGGACGGGUGAGUAACGCGUGGAUAACCUGCCUUUCACAGGGGGAUAACAGCUGGAAACGGUUGCUAAUACCGCAUGAGCCUCUUUUGUCGCAUGACGGGAGAGGGAAAGAGAAAUCGGUGAGAGAUGGAUCCGCGUCCGAUUAGCUAGUUGGAGGGGUAACAGCCCACCAAGGCGACGAUCGGUAGCCGACCUGAGAGGGUGGACGGCCACAUUGGGACUGAGACACGGCCCAAACUCCUACGGGAGGCAGCAGUGGGGAAUAUUGCACAAUGGGGGAAACCCUGAUGCAGCAACGCCGCGUGAGUGAGGAAGUAUUUCGGUAUGUAAAGCUCUAUCAGCAGGGAAUAGAAAAGAAGGUACCUGAAAAAGAAGCCCCGGCUAACUACGUGCCAGCAGCCGCGGUAAUACGUAGGGGGCAAGCGUUAUCCGGAUUUACUGGGUGUAAAGGGAGCGUAGACGGAAAGGCAAGUCAGAAGUGAAAACCCAAGGCUCAACCAUGGGACUGCUUUUGAAACUGUCAAACUAGAGUACGGGAGAGGUAAGAGGAAUUCCUAGUGUAGCGGUGAAAUGCGUAGAUAUUAGGAGGAACACCAGUGGCGAAGGCGUCUUACUGGACCGAAACUGACGUUGAGGCUCGAAAGCGUGGGGAGCAAACAGGAUUAGAUACCCUGGUAGUCCACGCGGUAAACGAUGAAUACUAGGUGUUGGGGUAAAGAAACCUCGGUGCCGCAGCAAACGCAAUAAGUAUUCCACCUGGGGAGUACGUUCGCAAGAAUGAAACUCAAAGGAAUUG
rnacentral:rRNA from 1 species